CACGGUGGCUGUCUGGAUCGGACUCCAAGAUCGGCACCAGCAGCUGCACGGAGAAGACCUGGAUGUCUGCUGGGCAUGGUGACCUUGGCUGUGUGCUUUCUAAUUCUGGUUACUGAGCAUGGAAGUGAACAAGUGCUUUGUGACAUUAUUACCUUGGCUUGGAGUCAAGGAGUGGAGAUUUAUCCAUGAACCGUCACGUCUACACUACAUGGACUCCUUUAUCGAGCUACUCGGGAAAAGGUACAGAGCCGUUGUAUUGUAUGCAGGACAGGAUUGUGGAUAGAAGAUGAACUGCAAUCAUAAUACCUGAUCGUCUGGAUUCUUAGUUGCGGCGCAUGUGGUGGGAUCGCCUUGGCGCCUUGCUUUUAGUAUGUGAGUGAACUUUGUAGUAUGAAGAACUUCAUCUCCUUAUUCCGGAUAACAUGUUUCCUGCUGUGGUUAUGAUUCCAACUGAGAUUGUGUAUGUGCUCUUGCUCCAAACAUUUUCUGUAAAACAGCUGUUGUGUUAUGUAUUCGUCGCGUACAAUGCUCCUAUUAUUGGAA